rnacentral:rRNA from 1 species
AUGGAAGUUUUCCGACUGGAGUCCCGUGUUGCAGCUGUCGUGGACUAUCUCGCAAAGCUGAAGGCCGCCACAUGGCGCAUCGACUCGACGCUCUGGCCUGAGGAGACACUUCAGAAUGACCUUGAGUCGCUGAUGGCCCGCUUGAACACGAUCCCUGGUCGAGUGCAGGAGUGGAAGAAGUCCUCGGCUCGGUGUGGUGCAGAUGUCGCUCUGUGUCUGGCCCGAGUCCACUUCAAAGAUGCGCGAGAGGAGAAGCUGGCGGCCCUUCGGGUGGCCAAUACCAAGAAGCACGACUUCAGGUCCUUUAUGGAGACUUUCCUUGCAGCUGCCACUCAGAUCGCCGACGGAAUUGACCUUGAUGAAUUUGUUGCACCUUCCAGCCCUCCACAGGAGGGGUAA